UACGUAGGGUGCAAGCGUUAAUCGGAAUUACUGGGCGUAAAGCGUGCGCAGGCGGUUCGCUAAGACAGAUGUGAAAUCCCCGGGCUUAACCUGGGAACUGCAUUUGUGACUGGAGGGCUAGAGUAUGGCAGAGGGGGGUGGAAUUCCGCGUGUAGCAGUGAAAUGCGUAGAGAUGCGGAGGAACACCGAUGGCGAAGGCAGCCCCCUGGGCCAACACUGACGCUCAGGCACGAAAGCGUGGGGAGCAAACAGG
rnacentral:rRNA from 1 species